GAGCUGAACAAUAGAAAAGACAGUACGUGACCAUGAUUUUUGAAAAACAUAUGAUCCAUGGAUGGUAUCUUGAAAUUGACUUAGUUCAAUAGUGUCAAUCAUGUUGAAUCAUGGGAGUCAUUGCAUCUCUUAUUUGACACAAAAUCUAUCCAUGGUUAUGAACAUUACUAACACUAUCGACAUGGAUCUUAGUGUGGUAGUGUAGCAAGAAAAUGAUAUCCAAAAGUAAUCCAAACACAUGCUAUU
rnacentral:lncRNA from 1 species